rnacentral:lncRNA from 1 species
UGAUUUUUAAUUGAUUCUAUUUCGAUUACGCCUAGAAUACACUUUCCAAUGUGCAUCAGGAAGUACACACAACUUUAUUGAUGGGAGGUUAGUACAGGAGCUAAAAUGUGAAGUCUAGCCAACCAAAGCAGUGGUAGUCACAGUGGCCAAUAGAAAGAAACUGGAGAGCAAAGCUAUUUGCAACCCACUGAUCUAAAGUAUGUAGGACUUAGAAUUUCAGUACCAAAUGAGAUUACUCAAGCUGGGGGCAAUGACAUGGUGUUGGGGGUAGACUGGUUGAGUUAAUUCUAUCCACUGGUAUUUGACUGCAAUCAAGGAUGGAUUAAAUUUCAAAUGGAAAGGGUAGAAAUGGAGGUGAGAAUUUAGACAACUAAGGGAGGAUUAAAGAUGAUAGAAUGUACUAAAGUAUAACAACGGUUUAAGAAACAAUCCUAUGGGGUCAUAGCCCAACUAUGCUCAGUCACGGAAGAAGGAAGAGAACCUAUGCCUGUUGAAAUACAAGUUACAGUCGAUCAAUUUUCAGAUGUCUUUGUAGAACCCAAAAGGCUACAACACCAGUAUAUUCC